UUUUUUAAAGGUAUUAUUUUGAACUGAUGUUUUGCUAGUAAUUGAGGACUGGCCAGCUGUUUUCUACCUGGGAGACAUGAGAGUUAGUGUGAGUGCUGCAGGAACAAGGCAGAACUCAGAAAAAAGAGUGACCGGAGGGUAUGAAGAAGCUGUUACUUCACAUCUCCAGCCAUCAAAGAGGGAGAUAUGGUAACCACAGGAAAAUGGUCCUGGUGUUUCUAAGACACGAAAGACACCUUUGCAGAAGAUGCUGUUAAACGUAUACAGGGGAAGAAACAGCUACAU